rnacentral:rRNA from 1 species
UUAGUAGCGGCGAGUGAAGCGGCAAAAGCUCAAAUUUGAAAUCUGGCACUUUCAGUGUCCGAGUUGUAAUUUGAAGAAGGUAUCUUUGGGUCUGGCUCUGUCUAUGUUUCUUGGAACAGAACGUCACAGAGGGUGAGAAUCCCGUGCGAUGAGAUGUCCCAGACCUAUGUAAAGUUCCUUCGAAGAGUCGAGUUGUUUGGGAAUGCAGCUCUAAGUGGGUGGUAAAUUCCAUCUAAAGCUAAAUAUUGGCGAGAGACCGAUAGCGAACAAGUACAGUGAUGGAAAGAUGAAAAGAACUUUGAAAAGAGAGUGAAAAAGUACGUGAAAUUGUUGAAAGGGAAGGGCUUGAGAUCAGACUUGGUAUUUUGUAUGUUACUCUCUCGGGGGUGGCCUCUACAGUUUACCGGGCCAGCAUCAGUUUGAGCGGUAGGAUAAGUGCAAAGAAAUGUGGCACUGCUUCGGUAGUGUGUUAUAGUCUUUGUCGAUACUGCCAGCUUAGACUGAGGACUGCGGCUUCGGCCUAGGAUGUUGGCAUAAUGAUCUUAAGUCGCCCGUCUUGAAACACGGACCAAGGAGUCUAACGUCUAUGCGAGUGUUUGGGUGUAAAACCCGUACGCGUAAUGAAAGUGAACGUAGGUAGGACCUCCUUUAGGAGUGCACUAUCGACCGAUCCUGAUGUCUUCGGAUGGAUUUGAGUAAGAGCAUAGCUGUUGGGACCCGAAAGAUGGUGAACUAUGCCUGAAUAGGGUGAAGCCAGAGGAAACUCUGGUGGAGGCUCGUAGCGGUUCUGACGUGCAAAUCGAUCGUCGAAUUUGGGUAUAGGGGCGAAAGAC